ensembl:miRNA
GGCAGCUUUGAAUGAUGUUACUUCUUAUUACUUAAAGAAGACAUCAGAUAAAUCUGUGCU